rnacentral:lncRNA from 1 species
GUAUCGUGCGUGACAUGACUUGCUUAUGUUUUGCCGAAAUGUUGAUUUAUUUCCAUUUCGGCGAAUUUCGAGCAACCUCUAUAUGGCCUAUUUCUAGGAAAGGUCAUGCCGAAAUUUUGUCUGGCUUUGAUAUAUGCAUGCAUGGUUAACAUUCUUUUGCUUAUUAUAUUGUGCAAGCAAACAUGAUGGUCAAUGGAAGGGAGGUGGAAAGAUGGUUGCGAUCCAUGGUGCAUGACAUGUAUUUAAAUAACCGGACUGGGGUUAUAUGUCCAUGUAGAAGAUGCAAAGUAAUCUUCAUCUUGGAC